rnacentral:rRNA from 1 species
GAUUAAGUUAUUAAGGGCGCACGGUGGAUGCCUUGGCACUAGAAGCCAAUGAAGGACGUUACUAACGACGAUAUGCUUUGGGGAGCUGUAAGUAAGCUUUGAUCCAGAGAUUUCCGAAUGGGGAAACCCAGCAUGAGUUAUGUCAUGUUAUCGAUAUGUGAAUACAUAGCAUAUCAGAAGGCACACCCGGAGAACUGAAACAUCUUAGUACCCGGAGGAAGAGAAAGAAAAUUCGAUUCCCUUAGUAGCGGCGAGCGAAACGGGAAGAGCCCAAACCAACAAGCUUGCUUGUUGGGGUUGUAGGACACUCUAUACGGAGUUACAAAGGACGACAUUAGACGAAUCAUCUGGAAAGAUGAAUCAAAGAAGGUAAUAAUCCUGUAGUCGAAAAUGUUGUCUCUCUUGAGUGGAUCCUGAGUACGACGGAGCACGUGAAAUUCCGUCGGAAUCUGGGAGGACCAUCUCCUAAGGCUAAAUACUCUCUAGUGACCGAUAGUGAACCAGUACCGUGAGGGAAAGGUGAAAAGCACCCCGGAAGGGGAGUGAAAUAGAACCUGAAACCGUGUGCUUACAAGUAGUCAGAGCCCGUUAAUGGGUGAUGGCGUGCCUUUUGUAGAAUGAACCGGCGAGUUACGAUUUGAUGCAAGGUUAAGCAGUAAAUGUGGAGCCGUAGCGAAAGCGAGUCUGAAUAGGGCGUUUAGUAUUUGGUCGUAGACCCGAAACCAGGUGAUCUACCCUUGGUCAGGUUGAAGUUCAGGUAACACUGAAUGGAGGACCGAACCGACUUACGUUGAAAAGUGAGCGGAUGAACUGAGGGUAGCGGAGAAAUUCCAAUCGAACCUGGAGAUAGCUGGUUCUCUCCGAAAUAGCUUUAGGGCUAGCCUCAAGUGAUGAUUAUUGGAGGUAGAGCACUGUUUGGACGAGGGGCCCCUCUCGGGUUACCGAAUUCAGACAAACUCCGAAUGCCAAUUAAUUUAACUUGGGAGUCAGAACAUGGGUGAUAAGGUCCGUGUUCGAAAGGGAAACAGCCCAGACCACCAGCUAAGGUCCCAAAAUAUAUGUUAAGUGGAAAAGGAUGUGGCGUUGCCCAGACAACUAGGAUGUUGGCUUAGAAGCAGCCAUCAUUUAAAGAGUGCGUAAUAGCUCACUAGUCGAGUGACACUGCGCCGAAAAUGUACCGGGGCUAAACAUAUUACCGAAGCUGUGGAUUGUCCUUUGGACAAUGGUAGGAGAGCGUUCUAAGGGCGUUGAAGCAUGAUCGUAAGGACAUGUGGAGCGCUUAGAAGUGAGAAUGCCGGUGUGAGUAGCGAAAGACGGGUGAGAAUCCCGUCCACCGAUUGACUAAGGUUUCCAGAGGAAGGCUCGUCCGCUCUGGGUUAGUCGGGUCCUAAGCUGAGGCCGACAGGCGUAGGCGAUGGAUAACAGGUUGAUAUUCCUGUACCACCUAUAAUCGUUUUAAUCGAUGGGGGGACGCAGUAGGAUAGGCGAAGCGUGCGAUUGGAUUGCACGUCUAAGCAGUAAGGCUGAGUAUUAGGCAAAUCCGGUACUCGUUAAGGCUGAGCUGUGAUGGGGAGAAGACAUUGUGUCUUCGAGUCGUUGAUUUCACACUGCCGAGAAAAGCCUCUAGAUAGAAAAUAGGUGCCCGUACCGCAAACCGACACAGGUAGUCAAGAUGAGAAUUCUAAGGUGAGCGAGCGAACUCUCGUUAAGGAACUCGGCAAAAUGACCCCGUAACUUCGGGAGAAGGGGUGCUCUUUAGGGUUAACGCCCAGAAGAGCCGCAGUGAAUAGGCCCAAGCGACUGUUUAUCAAAAACACAGGUCUCUGCUAAACCGUAAGGUGAUGUAUAGGGGCUGACGCCUGCCCGGUGCUGGAAGGUUAAGAGGAGUGGUUAGCUUCUGCGAAGCUACGAAUCGAAGCCCCAGUAAACGGCGGCCGUAACUAUAACGGUCCUAAGGUAGCGAAAUUCCUUGUCGGGUAAGUUCCGACCCGCACGAAAGGCGUAACGAUUUGGGCACUGUCUCAACGAGAGACUCGGUGAAAUCAUAGUACCUGUGAAGAUGCAGGUUACCCGCGACAGGACGGAAAGACCCCGUGGAGCUUUACUGUAGCCUGAUAUUGAAAUUCGGCACAGCUUGUACAGGAUAGGUAGGAGCCUUUGAAACGUGAGCGCUAGCUUACGUGGAGGCGCUGGUGGGAUACUACCCUAGCUGUGUUGGCUUUCUAACCCGCACCACUUAUCGUGGUGGGAGACAGUGUCAGGCGGGCAGUUUGACUGGGGCGGUCGCCUCCUAAAAGGUAACGGAGGCGCUCAAAGGUUCCCUCAGAAUGGUUGGAAAUCAUUCAUAGAGUGUAAAGGCAUAAGGGAGCUUGACUGCGAGACCUACAAGUCGAGCAGGGUCGAAAGACGGACUUAGUGAUCCGGUGGUUCCGCAUGGAAGGGCCAUCGCUCAACGGAUAAAAGCUACCCCGGGGAUAACAGGCUUAUCUCCCCCAAGAGUUCACAUCGACGGGGAGGUUUGGCACCUCGAUGUCGGCUCAUCGCAUCCUGGGGCUGUAGUCGGUCCCAAGGGUUGGGCUGUUCGCCCAUUAAAGCGGUACGCGAGCUGGGUUCAGAACGUCGUGAGACAGUUCGGUCCCUAUCCGUCGUGGGCGUAGGAAAUUUGAGAGGAGCUGUCCUUAGUACGAGAGGACCGGGAUGGACAUACCUCUGGUGUACCAGUUGUCGUGCCAACGGCAUAGCUGGGUAGCUAUGUGUGGACGGGAUAAGUGCUGAAAGCAUCUAAGCAUGAAGCCCCCCUCAAGAUGAGAUUUCCCAACUUCGGUUAUAAGAUC